AGGAAAUAGAUACCCGGGUAGUCCUGGCCCUAAACGAUGGGGACUAGGUAGUCGGCCGGACAUGGGCUGACUGCCGGAGCAAAAAAAGUGCUAAGUCCCCCGCCUGGGGAGUAUGGCCGCAAGGCUGAAACUCAAAGGGAUUGACGGGGGCUCACACAAGCGGUGGAGCAUGUGGCUUAAUUCGAGGCUACGCGAAGAACCUUAUCCCGGACUUGACAUGUGCGAAAGCGCCAGCAGGUAGGACCCGGAAACGGGGACGAACGGUACCCAACCCGGAAGCUGGUACAGGUGCUGCAUGGCUGUCGUCAGCUCGUGUCGUGAGAUGUCGGGUUAAGUCCCAUAACGAGCGAAACCCUUACCCCUUGUUGCAACCCUCACGGGGCACUCGAGGGGGACUGCCGGUGUCAAACCGGAGGAAGGUGGGGAUGACGUCAAGUCCUCAUGGCCUUUAUGUCCGGGGCUGCACACGUGCUACAAUGGCGUGAACAGAGGGACGCGACGGCGCGAGCCGAAGCCGACCCCGGAAAGCACGCCCAGUUCGGAUCGCGGGCUGCAACCCGCCCG
rnacentral:rRNA from 1 species